UACGAAGGGGGCUAGCGUUGCUCGGAAUCACUGGGCGUAAAGCGCACGUAGGCGGCUUUUUAAGUCAGGAGUGAAAUCCUGGAGCUCAACUCCAGAACUGCCUUUGAUACUGGGAAGCUUGAGUCCGGGAGAGGUGAGUGGAACUCCGAGUGUAGAGGUGAAAUUCGUAGAUAUUCGGAAGAACACCAGUGGCGAAGGCGGCUCACUGGCCCGGUACUGACGCUGAGGUGCGAAAGCGUGGGGAGCAAACAGG
rnacentral:rRNA from 1 species